CCUACGGGAGGCAGCAGUCGAGAAUCAUUCACAAUGGGGGAAACCCUGAUGGUGCGACGCCGCGUGGGGGAAUGAAGGUCUUCGGAUUGUAAACCCCUGUCAUGUGGGAGCAAAUUAAAAAGAUAGUACCACAAGAGGAAUAGACGGCUAACUCUGUGCCAGCAGCCGCGGUAAUACAGAGGUCUCAAGCGUUGUUCGGAAUCACUGGGCGUAAAGCGUGCGUAGGCUGUUUCGUAAGUCGUGUGUGAAAGGCGCGGGCUCAACCCGCGGACGGCACAUGAUACUGCGAGACUAGAGUAAGGGAGGGGGAAGCGGAAUUCUUGGUGUAGCAGUGAAAUGCGUAGAUAUCGAGAGGAACACUCGUUGCGAAGGCGGGUUCCUGGACAUUAACUGACGCUGAGGCACGAAGGCCAGGGGAGCGAAAGGGAUUAGAUACCCGAGUAGUC
rnacentral:rRNA from 1 species